GACGGAGGAUGCAAGCGUUAUCCGGAAUGAUUGGGCGUAAAGCGUUCGCAGGUGGCUGUUCAAGUCGGCUGUCAAAGACUGGGGCUUAACCCCGGAAAGGCAGUGGAAACUGAACGGCUAGAGUGCAGUAUGGGUAGAGGGAAUUCCCAGUGUAGCGGUGAAAUGCGUAGAGAUUGGGAAGAACACCGGUGGCGAAAGCGCUCUGCUGGACUGCAACUGACACUGAGGGACGAAAGCUAGGGGAGCGAAAGGG
rnacentral:rRNA from 1 species